AAAUUGAAGAGUUUGAUCAUGGCUCAGAUUGAACGCUGGCGGCAGGCCUAACACAUGCAAGUCGAACGGUAACAGAAAGCAGCUUGCUGCUUUGCUGACGAGUGGCGGACGGGUGAGUAAUGUCUGGGAAACUGCCUGAUGGAGGGGGAUAACUACUGGAAACGGUAGCUAAUACCGCAUAACGUCGCAAGACCAAAGAGGGGGACCUUCGGGCCUCUUGCCAUCGGAUGUGCCCAGAUGGGAUUAGCUUGUUGGUGGGGUAACGGCUCACCAAGGCGACGAUCCCUAGCUGGUCUGAGAGGAUGACCAGCCACACUGGAACUGAGACACGGUCCAGACUCCUACGGGAGGCAGCAGUGGGGAAUAUUGCACAAUGGGCGCAAGCCUGAUGCAGCCAUGCCGCGUGUAUGAAGAAGGCCUUCGGGUUGUAAAGUACUUUCAGCGGGGAGGAAGGGAGUAAAGUUAAUACCUUUACUCAUUGACGUUACCCGCAGAAGAAGCACCGGCUAACUCCGUGCCAGCAGCCGCGGUAAUACGGAGGGUGCAAGCGUUAAUCGGAAUUACUGGGCGUAAAGCGCACGCAGGCGGUUUGUUAAGUCAGAUGUGAAAUCCCCGGGCUCAACCUGGGAACUGCAUCUGAUACUGGCAAGCUUGAGUCUCGUAGAGGGGGGUAGAAUUCCAGGUGUAGCGGUGAAAUGCGUAGAGAUCUGGAGGAAUACCGGUGGCGAAGGCGGCCCCCUGGACGAAGACUGACGCUCAGGUGCGAAAGCGUGGGGAGCAAACAGGAUUAGAUACCCUGGUAGUCCACGCCGUAAACGAUGUCGACUUGGAGGUUGUGCCCUUGAGGCGUGGCUUCCGGAGCUAACGCGUUAAGUCGACCGCCUGGGGAGUACGGCCGCAAGGUUAAAACUCAAAUGAAUUGACGGGGGCCCGCACAAGCGGUGGAGCAUGUGGUUUAAUUCGAUGCAACGCGAAGAACCUUACCUGGUCUUGACAUCCACGGAAGUUUUCAGAGAUGAGAAUGUGCCUUCGGGAACCGUGAGACAGGUGCUGCAUGGCUGUCGUCAGCUCGUGUUGUGAAAUGUUGGGUUAAGUCCCGCAACGAGCGCAACCCUUAUCCUUUGUUGCCAGCGGUCCGGCCGGGAACUCAAAGGAGACUGCCAGUGAUAAACUGGAGGAAGGUGGGGAUGACGUCAAGUCAUCAUGGCCCUUACGACCAGGGCUACACACGUGCUACAAUGGCGCAUACAAAGAGAAGCGACCUCGCGAGAGCAAGCGGACCUCAUAAAGUGCGUCGUAGUCCGGAUUGGAGUCUGCAACUCGACUCCAUGAAGUCGGAAUCGCUAGUAAUCGUGGAUCAGAAUGCCACGGUGAAUACGUUCCCGGGCCUUGUACACACCGCCCGUCACACCAUGGGAGUGGGUUGCAAAAGAAGUAGGUAGCUUAACCUUCGGGAGGGCGCUUACCACUUUGUGAUUCAUGACUGGGGUGAAGUCGUAACAAGGUAACCGUAGGGGAACCUGCGGUUGGAUCACCUCCUUACCUUAAAGAAGC
rnacentral:rRNA from 1 species